AUGAGACUGCUGGAUCUUCUGUGCCUGGUGACAGCCCCGCUGGGUGUCCUGUCCCAGGUGAAGCUUCAGGAAUCAGGCCUAGGACUGGUUAAGCCCUCACAGACCCUCUCCCUCACCUGCACUGUCUCUGGAUUCUCUUUAACAAACUAUGAUGUGCAGUGGGCCCGCCAGGCUCCAGGGAAGGGGCUCGAGUGGGUCGGUGUUAUAUGGAGUGGUGGAAGCACAUAUUACAACCCAGCGCUGAAAUCCCGCCUCAGCAUCACCAGGGACACUUCCAAGAGCCAAGUCUAUUUGGCACUGAACAGCCUGAGAGCAGAUGACAUGGCCAUGUAUUACUGUGCAAGAGACACAGUGAAGGAAAGUCAGUGUGAGCCUAGACAGAAACCUCCUGCAGAAGACAGGAGGGCUGGAUUGCAGGAAGUGCUCAGGACAUGA